rnacentral:rRNA from 1 species
UACGUAGGGAGCAAGCGUUGUCCGGAAUCAUUGGGCGUAAAGCGCGCGUAGGUGGCCUCAUAAGUCCGUUGUGAAAGUCAAAGGCUCAACCUUUGAAAGCCGAUGGAUACUGUGAGACUAGAGUACGGAAGAGGCGAGUGGAAUUCCUGGUGUAGCGGUGGAAUGCGCAGAUAUCAGGAGGAACACCGGUGGCGAAGGCGGGUCUCUGGGCCGAUACUGACGCUGAGGAGCGAAAGCGUGGGGAGCGAACAGG